GUGUAUUGAGAUGUAGAUACUAACGUUCAACGUGAAACGGAAACAAAGGGUAGUUUGUUGUAACGAGAGUAUUUAAGAACGCGUAAAUAUCACAAUUUCAUCAAAGUUGCUUAAGCUCUGUUGAAGUUAUUUUGUUGAAAAGGAAAUUGGUUGGAAUGAAUCUUGUUGGAAAUCGUUGACCAAUCGCUAUUUGUUGAGGAAAAACUUGUACAGUUACGCUGAAAUAUGUUUAUUGGCGACUCUUCCAAAAUACUAUUCCAAAAAAUAUGCGUUGUUUGAAAUUAAGGAAAGAAUUUAAUACUAUUUCCUUUUAUUUACGAGCUAUUUUUUUAAUAUCACAAUUUCAUUAACGCUUCUCCACUUACGCUAAAGUCUGUUUAUUGGAGACUCUUCCAAAUACUAUUCUAAAGACUGUUUGAAAUAAAGCCCCAACGGAUUGUUGAAUAAAGUUUAUAUGCAUUUAAAAAAAGAUGGUGAUGAUGAUAUUGAAGAAGAAUAAGAAGAAGAAUAUGACAAUGAUAUUGAAGAAUUAGAUGAAGAGUAUGACUAUGACACUUUUUUAUUAGUAAUUUUUUGGAAAUUGAUUAAUGGAAAGAAGUUAUAUCAAAAGUCAUGUGCUGUUUUAGAUCAUAAUGUAUAUAUUUUUAGUCGUGUUGGACAUAUUGGUGGACAUAGUUGUAACUUUUAUUAUAAUCAAUAUAAACCCAGAGUUGAUAUUAACUCUAACUAUGCAAUGUAUAUAAAUAAAUAUGCUAUCAAAUAUCAAUUGUUUCAUUUUUAAA